UUUUGGACAAUGGGCGAAAGCCUGAUCCAGCCAUGCCGCGUGAGUGAAGAAGGCCUUCGGGUUGUAAAGCUCUUUUAGUCGGAAAGAAAGAGUUGCAAUGAAUAAUUGUGAUUUAUGACGGUACCGACAGAAAAAGCACCGGCUAACUACGUGCCAGCAGCCGCGGUAAUACGUAGGGUGCGAGCGUUAAUCGGAAUUACUGGGCGUAAAGCGUGCGCAGGCGGCUUUGUAAGACAGAUGUGAAAUCCCCGGGCU
rnacentral:rRNA from 1 species